CCCGCUCUCUGGGGGGCAGUGGCCCCGACGACCCCGCUCCCCCCGGGGACACACGCAGCUCCCGCUGGCUCCUCGCUGGGCUCCCUGAGCAAACGCCCUGCACAGCGUCCCCAGCCAAGGGGGCUCGCAGCCCCACCGACCCACGGGCGCGGCGAAGCCCAGAGAUGUUAAGUGACCCACCGAGGUCACACAGCCAGGAUCUGGUGGGCCUGGAAUUCUAGCCCAGCCGCGCGGGGCCCCAAGGGCUGUUCUCUUCUCCGUGGCAGUUGGGUUCCCAAGCCAGCCCCAGACCCUGUUAGAAGCACAAGAACAUGGAAUAAAUAGACGAAGGUCAUUAUUUCCUGAUGGCUGACUGUGACAGGCACCAAGGCAGAUACUGCGCAUGGUUACUUGCAUUGAGGCCCGGGUCUAAGGCUUUCCAUCAUUAUCAUAACACAUUACGGGAUCUCGGAGCCGUGAUCUGACCCCAGAGCCCAUGCCCCGUCCACAUGGGUCUCCGCUGUCUGCCCAGGCCAGGGCACAGCCCCACAGACACGCUCAGGAAGUAUUUGUGGAUGAAGAAGUGAAUGAACCCAUGAAGGCUGCUUUCUCCCCCACCAGGCUGGGACCUCCUUGAGGGCACGUGGGGUUUCUCCACUGCUGGACCCACAUCACCCCCGCAGAGAGUUGGGCUGGGACACGGAGCUGCCGAGUGUGUGGAGGGAGUCACGGCUCCUCUCUGGACUCGACUCCCCACCCAAGCGACGAGGAAGGCAGCAAGCUGUCCCAGCUGGUCAUGCCAACACACUGCAGGAGCGUGGAGAAGCUGGGACUGGCUGUGCUCAGGCCCUGGGGUCCAUCCCAGCCUCUUCCCACGUGGCCUUCUGUCCCCCUGGCCCCAGGAUCUCAGGUCCCCAACCUUGUCUCAGGCCCCUCUUGCCCCAGGAUCUGGUUUGGAGGAACGGGUUUCUCAGCCCCAUGUGACUAUUCUCUGCACCCCUGCCCCACACAUCCCAACCCAGGGUGGAGGGGACUUCACUGCUGCUUCUUCCACCCACCCAGGUCCCCGCCUGGGGACAGGGACAGACAGAGCGGUCCAUGUUAUUGCUGUUAUCCCUGGGGGACUGUUCAGACGCCAACUAAUUUGUUUCACUCUUGCCCCCUCCCUUAUUGAUCAAUGCUGUAACCGAGCGUUGUGUUAAAUGACUUGUUGCCAUGGUAACCAUCAGAUACACGCACAGAUCUGAUGUGCCUGUUUCCUGAGCCAGAUCGCCUCCUAAGAGCUCGCAGGGAGCAAAUCUCCUUUCAUAUCCGCCGCUGUUUUCUCAAAGGCACAGGAUAUUGUUCAGAACAAGGCAUUUUUAAAAACAAUAUUAAAAAAAGAACUUAACCAGGUUUCUCAACAGAUAUAAAGCUGUUUCAUAAGGUAUGUCACUCUUAAAAAAUAUGAAAUCAGAUUUGAAAAGGAAACCUUUGACCAAGUGCAUCUUCCUUCUGAGACUCUCUCCUUAGGAAAUAAGCUGAAAUAUGGACACAGGGCCCCGUAUAACUGACAGCAGCUGUGACAUUUACAAAGAGAGAAAUGGAAAACAGCCUCAAAGUUCCACAGGAGAAGAUUCAAGUAAGCUGUGGUUCGCACACUGGCAGGAUAUUAUAGAGAUGUUUAAAAUGCUACAUAGAAGAGGGAAGCAUAUGUGUCAGAUGAUGUGGAAUGAAAGAAACAUGAUAGGAAACUGUGUCUGCCAGGAGAUCAUAAUGAAUGUAAACAAACCUAAGCGAUGCAAGAAAACUACUCGGAGAAAAUACACACACCAAAAUGUUGACAGAG